AUUGAACGCUGGCGGCAUGCCUUACACAUGCAAGUCGAACGGCAGCAUGGAAGAGCUUACUCUUCUGAUGGCGAGUGGCGAACGGGUGAGUAAAGCAUCGGAACGUACCGUGUAGUGGGGGAUAACGUAGCGAAAGUUACGCUAAUACCGCAUACGCACUGAGGUGGAAAGCAGGGGAUCGCAAGACCUUGCGCUAUACGAGCGGCCGAUGUCAGAUUAGCUAGUUGGUAGGGUAAAGGCCUACCAAGGCGACGAUCUGUAGCGGGUCUGAGAGGAUGAUCCGCCACACGGGGACUGGAACACGGCCCAGACUCCUACGGGAGGCAGCAGUGGGGAAUUUUGGACAAUGGGGGAAACCCUGAUCCAGCCAUGCCGCGUGAGUGAAGAAGGCCUUCGGGUUGUAAAGCUCUUUCGGCUGGGAAGAAAUCGCACAGGCUAAUACUCUGUGUGGAUGACGGUACCAGCAUAAGAAGCACCGGCUAACUACGUGCCAGCCGCCGCCGUAA
rnacentral:rRNA from 1 species